CCCGAUGAUUGGAACGAGAGUGAGCUGAGCAAUGAUGACCGACUUCUCUCUGAGG
rfam:Thermococcus paralvinellae strain ES1 chromosome, complete genome.